GCAGUUCCCCUACGGCUACCUUGUUACGACUUCACCCCAGUCACGAACCCCGCCGUGGUAAGCGCCCUCCUUGCGGUUAGCCUACCUACUUCUGGCGGAACCCGCUCCCAUGGUGUGACGGGCGGUGUGUACAAGACCCGGGAACGUAUUCACCGCGACAUGCUGAUCCGCGAUUACUAGCGAUUCCGACUUCAUGCAGGCGAGUUGCAGCCUGCAAUCCGGACUACGAUCGGCUUUCUGGGAUUGGCUCCACCUCGCGGCUUGGCAACCCUCUGUACCGACCAUUGUAUGACGUGUGAAGCCCUACCCAUAAGGGCCAUGAGGACUUGACGUCAUCCCCACCUUCCUCCGGUUUGUCACCGGCAGUCUCGUUAAAGUGCCCAACUA
rnacentral:rRNA from 1 species